rnacentral:hammerhead_ribozyme from 1 species
AUCCAUCUGGUGAGUCCCGAACGGGACGAAACGCGCGUCAAACAGGAU